rnacentral:rRNA from 1 species
AUUGAACGCUGGCGGCAGGCCUAACACAUGCAAGUCGAGCGGAUGAAGCGAGCUUGCUCCUGGAUUCAGCGGCGGACGGGUGUGUAAUGCCCAGGAAUCUGCCUGGUAGUGGUGGAUAAUGUCCGGAAACGGGCGCUAAUAAUGCAUACGUCCUGCGGGAGAAGGAGGGGGGUCUUUGGACCUCACGCUCUCAGAUGAGCCUAGGCCGGACUAGAUAGCUGGUGGGGUAAAGGCCUACCUAGCCGACGAUUCGUAACUGGUCUGAGUGGAUGAUCAGUCACACUGGAGGUGAGACACGGUCCAGGCUCCUGCGAGAGGCAGCAGUGGGGAAUGUUGGGCAGUAGGCGAGAGCAUGGUCCAACGGUGCCGCGUGUGUGAAGAAGGUCUUCGGAUUGUGAAGCGCUUUAAGUUGGGGGAAAGGGCAGUAAGUUGAUACCAAGCUGUUUUGACGGUACCAGCAGAAGAAGCACCGGCUAACUUCGUG